AGGUUUGCUGUACUGGCCAACAAGCUCAACAAUUGUUAUUGCUGCAUAAGCAUAAGUGGUCAGGGAAUCCAUACAGCAACAACUACCAAAUUCUGCCCUAGCUGAACCAGAAGCACUGAAAGCUACAGCUACUGCAUAUUGUGUAAUACUUAGAUGCAAACAAAAGAGCAAGAUGGAAAAUGGUACCAAACUGUAACCUGCUGCUGGGCAAGUGAAGAUGUUCCUUUCUUAUCAGAUCCUCUUUGUGGGGAAGAAUAAUGCCAUACUUCACUCAGGAUUUCAUUCGACCGCAAUCAAUAUAGGAUGUGUAAGGAGGAGUUUUUGAAGCUAAAUACCUUUUAGUUCCCUUCAACUUUGUGUAUAAAUUCCUAUACAAAACCAAUUAAAAUCUUUGCUGUCUUGAAAUUAUAGUUUCCAUUACUGUACUCAACACAGUGUUUUAUCAUCUCACACUAUAAACCUCUAAACAGGAAUAAUCCUGCAAGAAGACAGCACUCUGGGAGGCUUCUGAUGGAAAAAUAAAUGCCUAGUUGCAAGUGAAUGCAAAGGAUGCUGCUUCUGAGAAGAAAGAGGAGCCUUCAUUGAGGUUUUUUUGAAUAGGGAAACCUUAAAACUGUAAGAACAGAACACAAAACUUGAGGAAAAGAAGACACCACAGAUAAAGAAGAUUUUUAUAAUGGGUCAUUUUAUUCCCUAUUCAUUUGUUUUUUGUGUUUUAAUGAAAUACAUAUGGAGAGAUUGGAAGCAUUUUGAUAUUCUUUAGAUUUCUAUCUUUAAAUAAGUAGGACAGUUUCACCAAAAGCCUCUUCCUCCUCUGCAGUCCCCUGACAUAAACUUCCCACACGCUGUAUGCAAAUAAUAGAAGUGCAAUUUUUAAUUUAGCUAGUAAAUGAAAGCUGCACCUGUUACAAAAUGGUCAGUUGCAAAACUAAAUUUCCCAAAAGACAAAAACACUACAGUUAAAAACCCUAGCUUCCAGCUGUCUCUCAAAGACAGAGAAUACCACAACAUGA